GGGGGSGGGACUAAMCAUGCAAGUCGAGCGGCAGCGGGUAAGUWGCUUGCUACUUUUGCCGGCGAGCGGCGGACGGGKGAKUAAUGCCUGGGGAUCUGCCCAGUCSAGGGGGAUAACUACUGGAAACGGUAGCUAAUACCGCAUACGCCCUACGGGGGAAAGCWKGGGACCUUCGGGYCUUGCGCGAUUGGAUGAACCCWKGUGGGAUUAGCUAGUUGGUGAGGUAAUGGCUCACCAAGGCGACGAUCCCUAGMUGGKCUGAKAGGAUGAUCAGCCACWCUGGAACUGASACACGGYCCASACUCCUACGGGAGGCAGCAKUGGGGAAUAUUGCACAAUGGGGGAAACCCUGAUGCAGCCAUGCCGCGUGUGUGAAKAAGGCCUUCGGGUUGUAAAGCACUUUCAGCGAGGAGGAAAGGUUGGUAGCUAAUAACUGCCAGCUGUGACGUUACUCGCASAASAAGCACCGGCUAACUCCGUGCCASCAGCCKCGGUAAUACGGARGGUGCAAGCGUUAAUCSGAAUUACUGGGCGUAAAGCGCACGCWKGCGGUUGGAUAAGUUARAUGUGAAAGCCCCGGGCUCAACCUGGGAAUUGCAUUUAAAACUGUCCAGCUAGAGUCUUGUAGAGGGGGGUAGAAUUCCAGGUGUAGCGGUGAAAUGCRUAGAGAUCUGGAGGAAUACCGGUGGCGAASGCGGCCCCCUGGACAAAGACUGACGCUCAAGUGCGAAAGCRUGGRGAGCGAACAGGAUUAGAUACCCUGGUAGUCCACGCCGUAGACKAUGUCGAUUUGGAGGCUGUGUCCUUGAGACGUGGCUUCCURGAGCUAACGCGWUAAMUCGASCGCCUGGGGGAGUACGGCAGCUAGGCUMAAACUCAAAUGGAAGUUGACGSGGGGACCCCGUCCACCAWAGC
rnacentral:rRNA from 1 species